rnacentral:rRNA from 1 species
CCUACGGGAGGCAGCAGUGGGGAAUAUUGCACAAUGGGGGGAACCCUGAUGCAGCGACGCCGCGUGGGUGAGGAAGUACUUCGGUAUGUAAAGCCCUAUCAGCAGGGAAGAAAAUGACAGUACCUGACUAAGAAGCGCCGGCUAACUACGUCCCAGCAGCCGCGGUAAAACGUAGGGGGCAAGCGUUAUCCGGAUUUACUGGGGGUAAAGGGAGCGUAGACGGCGUGCCAAGUCUGAUGUGAAGGGCCGGGGCGCAACCCCGGGACGGCAUUGGAGACUGGCAUGCUGGAGUGCGGGAGGGGCAAGCGGAAUUACGGGUGUAGCGGUGAAAUGCGUAGAUAUCAGGAGGAACACCGGUGGCGAAGGCGGCUUGCUGGACAGUAACUGACGUUGAGGCGCGAAAGCGUGGGGAGCAAACAGGAUUAGAUACCCGAGUAGUC